rnacentral:rRNA from 1 species
UACCUAGCUCAGAGUGAACGCUGGCGGCGUGCCUAAUACAUGCAAGUCGAACGAUGAAGCUUCUAGCUUGCUAGAGUGCUGAUUAGUGGCGCACGGGUGAGUAACGCAUAGGUCAUGUGCCUCUUAGUUUGGGAUAGCCAUUGGAAACGAUGAUUAAUACCAGAUACUCCCUACGGGGGAAAGAUUUAUCGCUAAGAGAUCAGCCUAUGUCCUAUCAGCUUGUUGGUAAGGUAAUGGCUUACCAAGGCUAUGACGGGUAUCCGGCCUGAGAGGGUGAACGGACACACUGGAACUGAGACACGGUCCAGACUCCUACGGGAGGCAGCAGUAGGGAAUAUUGCUCAAUGGGGGAAACCCUGAAGCAGCAACGCCGCGUGGAGGAUGAAGGUUUUAGGAUUGUAAACUCCUUUUGUUAGAGAAGAUAAUGACGGUAUCUAACGAAUAAGCACCGGCUAACUCCGUGCCAGCAGCCGCGGUAAUACGGAGGGUGCAAGCGUUACUCGGAAUCACUGGGCGUAAAGAGCGCGUAGGCGGGAUAGUCAGUCAGGUGUGAAAUCCUAUGGCUUAACCAUAGAACUGCAUUUGAAACUACUAUUCUAGAGUGUGGGAGAGGUAGGUGGAAUUCUUGGUGUAGGGGUAAAAUCCGUAGAGAUCAAGAGGAAUACUCAUUGCGAAGGCGACCUGCUGGAACAUUACUGACGCUGAUUGCGCGAAAGCGUGGGGAGCAAACAGGAUUAGAUACCCUGGUAGUCCACGCCCUAAACGAUGGAUGCUAGUUGUUGGAGGGCUUAGUCUCUCCAGUAAUGCAGCUAACGCAUUAAGCAUCCCGCCUGGGGAGUACGGUCGCAAGAUUAAAACUCAAAGGAAUAGACGGGGACCCGCACAAGCGGUGGAGCCAGUGGUUUAAUUCGAAGAUACACGAAGAACCUUACCUAGGCUUGACAUUGAGAGAAUCCGCUAGAAAUAGGGAGUGUCUAGCUUGCUAGACCUUGAAAACAGGUGCUGCACGGCUGUCGUCAGCUCGUGUCGUGAGAGUUGGGUUAAGUCCCGCAACGAGCGCAACCCCCUUUCUUAGUUGCUAACAGGUUAUGCUGAGAACUCUAAGGAUACUGCCUCCGUAAGGAGGAGGAAGGUGGGGACGACGUCAAGUCAUCAUGGCCCUUACGCCUAGGGCUACACACGUGCUACAAUGGGGUGCACAAAGAGAAGCAAUACUGUGAAGUGGAGCCAAUCUUCAAAACACUCUCAGUUCGGAUUGUAGGCUGCAACUCGCCUGCAUGAAGCUGGAAUCGCUAGUAAUCGCAAAUCAGCCAUGUUGCGGUGAAUACGUUCCCGGGUCUUGUACUCACCGCCCGUCACACCAUGGGAGUUGUGUUUGCCUUAAGUCAGGAUGCUAAAUUGGCUACUGCCCACGGCACACACAGCGACUGGGGUGAAGUCGUAACAAGGUAAGUAGGUGAACCCAUUAC